rnacentral:rRNA from 1 species
GCUCAAUCACCUUGAGUUUAGCCCGGCGGACGGCAUCCCCGGGGAGGCCAAUUAAAGCGCAAACUCGGGACGAAAACGGUGAAAAUUCCCCCCCCACCUAAGUCCCCACCGUUUUCGGGCAGGACUAGCAGGGGGAGCAAUCCUGUUUGCUCCCCAUGUUUUACUCCUCAGAGUCAGUGACAGCCCAGGGGGCGGGCCAUUGCCAUUGGUGUUCGUCGUGAUAUAUGCGCAUUUCACCGCUACAGCAGAGAAUGCAGUCUAGCCUAAAACACAAUAGUAUGACGGGGCGCCCGCGCAAGCGGCGGGGCAAGCGGAUUAAUUUUCAUGCAACGCGAAGAACAUUACCAAGGCUUGACAUACACCAGACCGGCCCAGAGAUGGGUUUUCCUCUUUGAGGUUGGUGUACAGGUGGUGCAUGGUUGUCGUCAGCUCGUGUCGUGAGAUGUUGGGUUAAGUCCCGCAACGAGCGCAACCCUCGUUCUAUGUUGCCAGCACGUGAUGGUGGGGACUCAUAGGAGACUGCCGGGGUCAACUCGGAGGAAGGUGGGGAUGACGUCAAAUCAUCAUGCCCCUUAUGUCUUGGGCUUCACGCAUGCUACAAUGGCCGGUACAAUGGGUUGCGAUACCGUGAGGUGGAGCUAAUCCCAAAAAGCUGGUCUCAGUUCGGAUCGUGGUCUGCAACUCGACCACGUGAAGUCGGAGUCGCUAGUAAUCGCAGAUCAGCAACGCUGCGGUGAAUACGUUCCCGGGCCUUGUACACACCGCCCGUCAAGUCACGAAAGUUGGUAACACCCGAAGCCGGUGGCCUAACCCUUGUGGGGGGAGCCGUCGAAGGUGGGACUGGCGAAGAGUUGAUCUAGUAUCAAAUCACGCAGCACCA